rnacentral:rRNA from 1 species
CAGUCGCCGCGGGAAUACAGAGGGUGCGAGCGUUAAUCGGAUUUACUGGGCGUAAAGCGUGCGUAGGCGGCUUUUUAAGUCGGAUGUGAAAUCCCUGAGCUUAACUUAGGAAUUGCAUUCGAUACUGGGAAGCUAGAGUAUGGGAGAGGAUGGUAGAAUUCCAGGUGUAGCGGUGAAAUGCGUAGAGAUCUGGAGGAAUACCGAUGGCGAAGGCAGCCAUCUGGCCUAAUACUGACGCUGAGGUACGAAAGCAUGGGGAGCAAACAGGAUUAGAUACCCGUGUAGUCCCUGUCUCUUAUAC